CGCCCCAAAUCGGAAGUGACGGAGACGAGCUAGCGCGUCGAAGAUACCUCUAUGGUUUUCCUCCCGUUCUUGAGUCGGGAAAUGGCCGCUGUGUAGUUACAACGGAGAUAAGUCCCGGGAACGGUGCUUUCGGCGUUUCAGGAAUUUGAAUUUAGAGUUUAAUUUCUCAGAACAUUUUCUCCAGGAAGAACUUUACAGUAUCUUAAAGACUUCACUUGACUGUUUAAUCCUGCAUAAAACCCAAGGAGAAAAGAAAUGGGUCGCUCCAAUUCUAGAUCACAUUCUUCAAGAUCAAAGUCUAGAUCACAGUCUAGUUCUCGAUCAAGAUCAAGAUCGCAUUCUAGAAAGAAGAGAUACAGUUCUAGGUCUCGUUCCAGGACAUACUCAAGAUCUCGUAGUAGAGAUCGUAUUUAUUCUAGAGAUUAUCGCCGAGAUUACAGAAAUAAUAGAGGAAUGAGACGACCUUAUGGGUACAGAGGAAGGGGCAGAGGGUAUUAUCAAGGAGGAGGAGGUAGAUAUCAUCGAGGUGGUUAUAGACCUGUCUGGAAUAGAAGACACUCUAGGAGUCCUAGACGAGGUCGUUCACGUUCCAGGAGUCCAAAAAGAAGAUCCGUUUCUUCUCAAAGAUCCCGAAGCAGAUCUCGCCGGUCAUACAGAUCUUCUAGGUCUCCAAGAUCAUCCUCUUCUCGUUCUUCAUCCCCAUAUAGCAAAUCUCCUGUCUCUAAAAGACGAGGGUCUCAGGAAAAACAAACCAAAAAAGCUGAAGGGGAGCCCCAAGAAGAGAGUCCUUUGAAAAGUAAAUCACAGGAGGAGCCGAAAGAUACAUUUGAACAUGACCCAUCUGAAUCUAUUGAUGAGUUUAACAAAUCAUCAGCCACAUCUGGUGAUAUUUGGCCUGGCCUCUCAGCUUAUGAUAAUAGUCCUAGAUCACCUCAUAGUCCUUCACCGAUUGCUACACCACCUAGUCAGAGUUCAUCUUGCUCUGAUGCCCCCAUGCUCAGUACAGUCCACUCUGCAAAAAACACCCCCUCUCAGCAUUCACAUUCCAUUCAGCAUAGUCCUGAAAGGUCUGGGUCUGGUUCUGUUGGAAAUGGAUCUAGUCGGUACAGUCCUUCUCAGAAUAGUCCAAUUCAUCAUAUCCCUUCACGAAGAAGCCCUGCAAAGACAAUCACACCACAGAAUGCUCCAAGAGAUGAGGCUAGGGGACGUUCUUCAUUUUAUCCUGAUGGUGGAGAUCAGGAAACUGCAAAGACAGGAAAAUUCUUAAAAAGGUUCACAGAUGAAGAGUCUAGAGUAUUCCUGCUUGAUAGGGGUAAUACCAGGGAUAAAGAGGCUCCAAAGGAGAAAGGAUCAGAGAAAGGGAGGGCAGAGGGAGAAUGGGAAGACCAGGAAGCGCUAGAUUACUUUAGUGAUAAAGAGUCUGGAAAACAAAAAUUUAAUGAUUCAGAAGGGGAUGACACAGAGGAGACAGAGGAUUAUAGACAGUUCAGGAAGUCAGUCCUUGCAGAUCAGGGUAAAAAUUUUGCUACUACAUCUCACCGGAAUACUGAGGAGGAAGGACCCAAGUACAAGUCCAAAGUUUCAUUGAAAGGCAAUAGAGAAAGUGAUGGAUUUAGAGAAGAAAAAAAUUAUAAACUUAAAGAGACUGGCUACGUAGUGGAAAGGCCUAGCACUGCAAAAGAUAAGCACAAGGAAGACGACAAAAGUUCUGAGAGAAUAACAGUAAAGAAAGAAACUCAGUCACCUGAGCAGGUAAAGUCUGAAAAGCUCAAAGACCUCUUUGAUUACAGUCCCCCUCUACACAAGAAUCUGGAUGCACGAGAAAAGUCUACCUUCAGAGAGGAGAGCCCACUUAGGAUCAAAAUGAUAGCCAGUGAUUCUCAUCGUCCUGAAGUCAAACUCAAAAUGGCACCUGUUCCUCUUGAUGAUUCUAACAGACCUGCUUCCUUGACUAAAGACAGGCUACUUGCUAGUACACUUGUCCAUUCUGUCAAGAAGGAACAAGAAUUCCGAUCCAUCUUUGACCACAUUAAGUUGCCACAGGCCAGCAAAAGCACUUCAGAAUCUUUUAUUCAACACAUUGUGUCCUUGGUUCAUCAUGUUAAAGAGCAAUACUUCAAAUCAGCUGCAGUGACCCUAAACGAGAGGUUCACUUCGUAUCAGAAAGCCACCGAAGAACAUAGUACCAGGCAAAAGAGCCCUGAGAUACACAGGAGAAUUGACAUCUCUCCAAGUGCCCUGAGGAAGCAUACUCGUUUAGCAGGGGAAGAGAGAGUUUUUAAAGAAGAAAAUCAAAAGGGAGAUAAAAAAUUAAGGUGUGAUUCUGCUGAUCUUCGGCAUGACAUUGAUCGUCGGAGAAAAGAAAGAAGUAAAGAACGGGGGGAUUCCAAGGGCUCCAGGGAAUCCAGUGGAUCAAGAAAGCAGGAAAAAACUCCAAAAGAUUACAAGGAAUACAAAUCUUACAAAGAUGACAGCAAAAAUGUAUUUGUCUUUUACACGGCUUAUGGUGGAUGAGGACAAAAACUUUGGAAUAGCAAGCUAACACUGAAAAAAAAAAUGACAAAUUAAUGUGUCCUAUUAUCCAGGCUACAUCAGGAGGUUGGACUUCAAUGCAGUGCAUUUCUAGAAACAGUUUGUUAAACAUAAAAGUAGAGAGCAAGAUCAUUCUCGAUCUUCAUCCUCUUCAGCAUCGCCUUCUUCUCCCAGUUCUCGAGAAGAAAAGGAGAGUAAGAAGGAAAGAGAAGAAGAAUUUAAAACUCACCAUGAACUGAAAGAAUACUCAGGCUUUGGAGGAGUUAGCCGACCACGAGGAACCUUUUUUCGAAUUAGAGGCAGAGGAAGAGCCAGAGGAGUUUUUGCUGGGACAAAUACUGGUCCAAACAACUCAAAUACUACUUUUCAAAAGAGACCGAAGGAAGAGGAAUGGGAUCCAGAAUAUACCCCAAAGAGCAAGAAGUACUUCUUGCAUGAUGACAGAGAUGAUGGUGUGGAUUAUUGGGCCAAAAGAGGAAGAGGUCGUGGUACUUUUCAACGUGGCAGAGGGCGCUUUAACUUCAAAAAAUCAGGUAGCAGUCCAAAAUGGACUCAUGACAAAUACCAAGGGGACGGGAUUGUUGAAGAUGAAGAAGAGACCAUGGAAAAUAAUGAAGAAAAGAAGGACAGACGCAAAGAAGAAAAGGAAUAGUAAAUCUGAAGUGAGAUUGCAACAGAGAGCAGAACUUGCACCCACCAUUUUUUACCUGAUUUUUGUUUUCAAAUAAGAAUGUAAGCAUUUUACUUAAAUUUUACUGUUUGCAAGUAGUCAAUAGAAAUUUUGUUUUAAGUCUUCAAAUACCUUGAAAAAUAGUAGACUGUAUGUUGAAAAUUGUACCGAAAUAAAGUAGAAAAUUGUUACGUACCAUAUUUGUAACUAUCAACUUUUAAAAAAUACUUUUACUGUUUUUGUUACAUGCAUUGUAAUUCGCUUUGUCUAUAAGAUAUGGUCAAGUACAGCUCUGUGAAAGUUCUGAUUCUCUUCCUUCCCUGUUUGUUAAUGUUUAUUCUGAAGUAAACGUUAGCUCUACAUACAAAUCCCCGAACAGAAGUUGUUUAUAGAGACCACACUAAUUAUUUUAACCGUAUACAUCUGUUUAACAUUCUCCUUAAUUCACAAACUACAUUGUAGGGUGACUAAUUUUUGAGGUGUACCACAGAAAAGGUUUUUACUUUGGUAAACUAAGCUAGUUAACAUGUCAGCAGAUGUUUAAGAGGAAAAAAAAGCUUUACCAAUAGCUAAAAAGUACAAGCUAUUUAAAAGAUCCAAAAGUAUGAGGUUUUUUUCUUUUUUUUUUUUUUAACUGAAAGCAAACAGUGGCCUACAAAAACUAUUAGGAUCCUUUACUUUUUGGGCUCAAAAAAAGUUCUCUUUCUAUUCUUAUUUGAAAGUUUGAGUCAUGGUCUUAGAUAUCAGCUAAUUUUUUUGAGAGAGGAACUGGUCUGUAGUAAUACAAAUAAAAAAUCCAUUCCUACCAAAUGUAUUACUUUUAAAAAAAUAAAACAGAAUAAAACCUGUAAUCUUGGUCUUGGUAUGGAAGAGGAUUAUGCUGCAGAAUAACUUGAUACAUUAGAAAGAUGUACCUGAUUUCAUAUCUUACAUAUUUAUUUGAGCUUCUGGACAGCUGAAACAUUAGUUUGUAGUCUAACCAUAAGGAAAAAUAGGCAAACAAAACAUACUGUUCAUUAGUAGUAUUUUAAGUAAUUUGUUUUUCAAUAAAAAGUUUUGACAGGAAGUUUGUUGCAGCAUUGUCUAACUUGGUUUUACUUUUUUCCCUAUAAAAUGGCUUUCUUUUUCUUCCCAAGGGUUCUAUUCUUCAGGUAGAUAAUCUUUCAGAUGUGAAUUACCUUUAUGUUUAUGCUGAUAGCUCUUAAGAUGAAAAUCCGAAAUAGUAAAUUUCAGUGUUUGUCUGCUCUAUGAGCAUAUAUAAAAGUAGUCAAAUUUCAUUUGUUAAUUCAGCAACCAAAUUAGUUGUAUAUGUUUGCAUUAAAAGGAGGUAAUGCUUAUUCUUUUAGUGUAAACUUUCAGAGAUCUUAAGUACAUGGAUCUUUCGUCCUCACUUGAUGAUUUGCAGUGCUCCUAGCACCUUGAUUGCAGCCAGGGGCAUUUGCUAAGAACUGUAAGAGGGAAAAAUAUGAAAAAAAAAAACCUCAAUAUAUGUGAUGUGUAUGGCCCUGGGAUCUUUAUUGCAUGAUUUCUCCUAUCUUGUCUUUUCUGAAAUUGUUACAGAGCAGAGGAAAUACUGUUAAAGCAAGUUUGUUAUUGCAUUAAUCAGGACACAGCUAAUUUCUUCUAGUCAGAAUAAUAAUUACAUGCUAAAGCAACAUGGAUUUAAUCUUCAACACAGUUCUCGAGAAUUUUCACAACCAUUUUAUUUUAUACAAAUAAAUUUAGCUUUUAUUUUAACAGUUACUAUUUAGUUAGAUACUGAAUCUCUGUGCAUGACUAUAAAUGUGCAGUUUUGUUUUUCCACUUAAGACAAUAGAAUGGGAAUUUGCUGAGAAAUUAUUUAAUAGGGAGUGGGAAUAAAGCUCCCUAGGUCCUAUCAGCAAGUUAUAUUUUAAAUGCAAAUGCAUUGCUUUAACCCAAAUAGAUACCUGAUUUGGUUGCUUUUAUUCUAUUAAAAUUCAGGAAAGGAUUAUACCAGAAUUUAGUAGGAAGGGUGAUAGAACUCUGCAAUAGGAUUCCAUUGUGGAUGUUACCUGUUUCAGAGCCAAGCAUAUGAAAGCCUGUGUUGUGUUUUUUUAAGCCACAAUUUAAGUCCACACUUUACAACAUACUAUAAAGCUGAAUGGUUCCUCUUGGUAAGGAAUUUUGUUAACAAAUGCCAGAAAAUAAUAACUCUUUGAUACCUACAUUAACAGACUUCCUUUUGCCUAGAGAAGGAAAAUAAAAGUGAACCAAAGGAUAUUUCCAGAAAGGAUUAAGAAAGCUGUUUAAGAAGGCCAUGACUCAGUCCUUAGGUGUGUAUACCUUUCAACAUCCUAGGAAUUUUAAUAUAAAAUAGCAAAAUAUGUUUUUCCAAUUGCAUCCAACUUUAAGGAAUUACUAUUUGUUCCUUUUGUCACAGUUAAAAUCAAGUGUUGGGAAUUAAAUUAUAAUUUGAGUAAAAAUAUUACCCAAUACGAAUGAAUGUAGAUGGCUAAACGAUUCUUACUCAGUGUGAUGUAUAUUGCAACAGGGACCCUUGUAAAUUGUCAUAUGCCAAUAAAAUGUCAUUAAGUGGUAAU